GAUUCCAAAACUUAAAAAUUUGGGUUCGUGAAGCAAGAGCGAAGAAGCUGAGCUACAGUGAAACACACUGUAGGUUUUCUCUUCCACACCAUCAAAACUCCGUCAUGGCCCCUCGAAUCCUCCUAUGCGGCGACGUUUUGGGCCGCCUGAACCAGCUCUUCAAGCGCGUCUCAUCGGUGAACAAAUCGGCGGGUCCAUUCGACGCGCUCUUGUGCGUGGGUCAAUUCUUCCCGGACUCACCUGACCUGAUGGAAGACUUCAUGGCCUACAUCGAAGGUGGCUCCAGCAUUCCCCUCCCGACUUACUUCAUCGGCGACUACGGCGUCGCAGCCCCGAAAAUUCUCUUGGCAGCUUCCAAGGACUCUGCUAACCGUGGUUUCAUGAUGGAGGGCUUGAAGGUUUGUGAGAAUUUGUAUUGGUUGAAAGGCAGUGGCAAAUUCACACUCAAUGGGUUAUCUGUGGCUUAUUUAUCUGGUAGGAAAUCAUCAAAUGUUCAACAGUUUGGAACUUAUAGUCAAGAUGAUGUUGAUGCUUUGCGCGCAAUAGCUGAGGAACCUGGAAUUGUUGAUUUGUUCUUGACUAACGAAUGGCCUAGCGGGGUUACUAAUCGAGCAGCUGCUUCAGACAUUCCUGCUGGACUCUCAGAUUCUAUAGGCAGUGAUCCGACCAUAUCAGAGUUAGUAGAAGAGAUUAAACCACGCUAUCACAUUGUAGGUACUAAAGGUAUAUACUAUGUCCGUGAACCAUAUUCCAAUGUUGAUGCUGUGCAUGUCACUCGUUUCAUAGGGCUGGCAUGCGUUGGAAAUAAAGAUAAGCAGAAAUUUAUUCAUGCAAUUUCUCCAACACCUGCAUCCACCAUGUCUUCAACUGAGCUUGCCAUGAAAACCACAACUACCACCUUAUCACCAUACACAUCUGUGGGGAACAAAACUUCUCCAAAGGAUACCACAAAGAGAUCCAGUGAUGGUAUCUCUGAUUCUCAAUAUUGGAGAUAUGAUGAUGUUUCUCAAAAGCGAUUAAAACAUGGAGCUGGGGAUGGUGAUAAGCUGUGUUUCAAAUUUGUAUCAUCUGGCUCUUGUCCACGAGGAGAGAAGUGCAAUUUUCGACAUGAUAUAGAUGCAAGGGAACACGGCAUGAGAGGCGUUUGUUUUGAUUUUUUGAAUAAGGGAAAAUGUGAAAGGGGUCCAGAUUGCAACUUUAAGCACAGCUUGCAGGAUGAAGGUGAUAUGCAUCCUUCCACGAGACCUGGGUCCCGAAGUAUUAGGUCUAGCAGAUCUCAAGAAUGUUGGUUUUGCUUGUCAAGCCCCAAUGUGGAGUCACAUUUAAUAAUAAGCAUUGGGGAAAAUUACUAUUUGGCAUUGGCUAAAGGUCCACUUGUUGAAGACCAUGUGCUGAUAAUACCAGUUGAGCAUAUGCCAAGUACCCCGUCCAUGUCUUCAGAAUCUGAAGUUGAGCUCUUUCGGUUUCAAAACAGUCUCAAGAGGUACUACAAGGACCAGGAAAAGGAGGUCAUCUUUUUUGAGUGGCUUUCUGUACGAGGAACUCAUGCCAAUCUUCAGGCCAUUCCCAUUCAAUCUUCCAAAGCAGUUAUGGUUGAAAAAGCAUUCAAUUUAGCUGCACAAAAGUUGGGAUUUGAAUUUGUGGCAAAGAAAUUUGAUAGCAUAUCUGAUGGAAGGAAGUUUCUUAAGGAACAAAUUGAUGGGAAAUCAAGCUUGUUUUAUGCUGAAAUACCAGGAGGCACAAUUUUGCUCCAUCAUGUUGAGGAGAAAGAAAGAUUUUCUGCCCAAUUUGGACGAGAGGUUCUGGCAGGGUUGCUUAAUAUGGCAGAUAAUGCAGAUUGGAGGACUCGCAAAUAUAGCAAAGAUGAAGAGAUGAAAUUAGUCGAAGAUUUCAAGAGUCAAUUUCAAGAAUAUGAUCCAAACUGUUGAUUAUUCAGCAUUAAAUUCUCAGUUUACACCUAUGCCACGAUGACUAUGGUGACUCCUUAAUCUAAUCGUACCGAACCUUUCUGUUAUAUGCCCAAUUGCAUGUGAUGCUGAAUGUCAAACUGAGAGUUUUUUCUUUCCCAAUGAUUAUGUGCUUAGGAGACAUGAUAGUCCGGAUGGAUUUCAAUUGGUCACUUUUUUAUCAGCAUUUCCUAGGGUGAGCUUCAUUUUCCUCUCCUAACUUGGACUUGCUGUAACUUGUUCUCUCUAAACCCGGUGGCUAUUUUUGUGACUAUUAUAUGCCACAUUAUAUAGAUGCCUCAACCUUGCUAUUCUAAAUAUUUCACGCGAGGAAUCACCAAGCUGAAGGUUCUAUUCUAUCACAUAGCUAUUUGCAUUGGUGACACAAGCAGCCGCUGCAUAUAUAUUUUGAGGCACAGGGAGGUUGAGGGUGAGAUAUACUUCUACUUCCAACUAGUUAGUCGGUAUCCUUUUAUUAAUGCUCCGAUCUUGCAAUAUCUGCACUUCCAUUUGCCUAGAAUUGAAGUCUCUACAAUUGUGUUUUUUAUCUCAAAGGUUGGCUUCAACCCUUCUGUGGAAAUUCAGUUUUGUAGACUCUAGUUGAUUGGUGUAACAUUAUUUUGUUGUUCUCAUGUAAUUAUUGUGCCUUUUCAUUUGUA